rnacentral:rRNA from 1 species
UGGGGAAUAUUGCACAAUGGGCGGAAGCCUGAUGCAGCAACGCCGCGUGCGGGAUGACGGCCUUCGGGUUGUAAACCGCUUUCAGCAGGGACGAAGCGUGAGUGACGGUACCUGCAGAAGAAGCACCGGCUAACUACGUGCCAGCAGCCGCGGUGAUACGUAGGGUGCGAGCGUUGUCCGGAUUUAUUGGGCGUAAAGAGCUUGUAGGCGGUUGGUUGCGUCGAAAGUGCAAACUCAGGGCUUAACUCUGAGCCUGCUUUCGAUACGGGCUGACUGGAGGAAGGUAGGGGAGAAUGGAAUUCCCGGUGGAGCGGUGGAAUGCGCAGAUAUCGGGAGGAACACCAGUGGCGAAGGCGGUUCUCUGGACCUUUCCUGACGCUGAGAAGCGAAAGCGUGGGGAGCAAACAGGCUUAGAUACCCUGGUAGUCCACGCUGUAAACGGUGGGUACUAGGUGUGGGGGACAUUCCACGUUCUCUGUGCCGUAGCUAACGCAUUAAGUACCCCGCCUGGGGAGUACGGCCGCAAGGCUA